UGAGCGGGACAGCAAUCACGUGGUCUCAAUAUGAACGUAGUGGCGGUGUGUGUACUGUUUUAAAUUGUGCGUUAUUACUGCGACUACAACCAUGCUGUGCCUACGUGGUCUCAACUGCUUCUGCCACGAUUUGACAUCUACAACUCUGAGGCUUCGCCUUCGCUGAGCUGCACGAAUCUCAUUCUCAGCAGAAGCGGCAGCUGCCGUGAUAAGGUGUUGCUCCACUGUGACACGCCUCAGGUACUGUACACACAACCCCAUCGGCUGCCCGACACCUGUCAAGUCUGCCACAGUGGUACCCACAAGCAGAGGAGAGUGGGAGCAAAUUGCAGAGGAUUUCGAGAAGUGGAACUGUUAUAACACUAUAGGAGCAAUGGACGGAAAGCACAUUCGUAUUAAAUGUCCACAAGCUAGUGGAUCUCACUUUUUCAAUUAUAAAUCCUUCAACAAUAUCAUUUUAUUUGCCAUGGUAGAUGCUUCCUACAAAUUUUUGUAUGUAGAUGUAGGUACUAAUGGGCGUGUUGGUGAUGCUGGAGUGUUUUCAAAAAGCAAACAACGUGAGUGUCUCAUUGACCGAUCUAUGCUCAACAUUCCUGAAGGCAGGAAGCUUGGGAACACAAACAUUACAACUCCAGUGGUAGUACUGGCAGAUGACGCUUUUCCUCUGGGUUAUAACAUUAUGAAGCCAUACCCCUUAAAAGCAAUCACUAAAGAAGAAAAGGUUUUCAGUUACCGACUGUCACGAGGGAUAAGAUUAGUGGAGAGCGGCUUUGGCAUUCUUGCAAGUCGUUUCAGGAUUUUUCUUACUGCUAGUAAUCUGCCUCCAGAAAAAGUUACCACAAUAACACUGGCUGCCUGCACACUGCACAACUUGUUAACUGAGAGAAGAAAACACUUGCACACUCGUCAGGAAACAGUCUCUGCCGUAGUAGGAGACUGCACUUAUCUUGAGACGCAAAGCACUGAGGACCUACAGCAAAUGGAACCAAUAGCUUGCUAAGCUGCUUCUGGACGUACAGUACACGGGAGAGCAGUUAGGGAAUACUUUAAGACAUUUUAUAAUGGCGCUGCGAAAGUGCCCU